rnacentral:lncRNA from 1 species
AGAUCAGUGCCUUGUUUGCUAGGCCAUAUAUAUCCGCAAUGUGGUGGGUCAAAGCUCUGUUGGUUUUCAGGUACAUAUUU